rnacentral:rRNA from 1 species
UACGAAGGGUGCAAACGUUGCUCGGAAUUACUGGGCGUAAAGCGUGCGCAGGCGGUGAUGUAAGACAGAUGUGAAAUCCCCGGGCUCAACCUGGGACCUGCAUUUGUGACUGCAUCGCUGGAGUGCGGCAGAGGGGGAUGGAAUUCCGCGUGUAGCAGUGAAAUGCGUAGAUAUGCGGAGGAACACCGAUGGCGAAGGCAAUCCCCUGGGCCUGCACUGACGCUGAGGAGCGAAAGCGUGGGGAGCGAACAGG